AUCACUUUUGGCUAAGAAAAAGUAUAGUGUCUGAUCUUAUCAGUUUAAUAUCUGAUACAUCCUCUAUCCAAGAACAAUAUAUUAAAUGGAUAUUUGGACCUGGGGGAUGGAAUAGGAGCUUGCUCCAUCUGCUCCACACAUUGACCUGGUAUUGCAAUAACUCCAGGAAUGUUGAACCCAUU
rnacentral:snRNA from 1 species